UAUCUGAAGACAAACAAUAGGAAUGGGGUGUGUGUACGAAGACAUGUGUUUAUGAAUAUUCCAUGUCUAAUAUUAUCUUUCACAAAGCACACCUUUAUUUACCUACAUAUUGUUCAAAUGGCGUUUCUCAAUAUAGGAAUUUAUAAAGGUUGUACAUAAUGAAAACUGUUUUAAGCACAUUACUAAUCCUUGUGUUUGUUUGUCUCAGGAAUUAUUGGAAAAAUAUUGAUCAUAUUAACAUUGAGUCCAGUGAUAUAGCAAAGGCUCUUUUACUGAAGACAACCAAUACAAAUGCGGUUUGUGAAAGGAGUCUAGUGUUGAGACUGUUCAAAGUCCACAUUUUUCUUCCGCCCUACUCAAAUGCUAUUCUUCAAAUCAAAAUAUUGAAGAUCAGAUGUUAAUAAAUAUUUAUUUUUACGAAAAUUAUAUUGAAAAUUUUUUUUAUGAAAUGUAUUACUAAUCGUCAUAAUUUUUAAUGCCUUAAUUAUAUCUCAUAUUUUUAUAUUUUAUAAUAUAUUUCUUACUUUUUGUUUUAUUGAUAACAAAUAAUUCUCCAUUCAAUAUAGAUUUUGUAAUGUCUUUAUUGUAUUGUAUUCAUAAUCAUUUCAAUAAUAUUAGGGAUUUAUCAUUAGACGAUACAUGUGUUUGCUGUUUAUAUGACAUUUGCCUCUCUCAAGGCGCAUACCAUUCUGAAGAUAAACUAUAUGAAUGCGGUUUUUGUGAGAAGAAAUAUGUAAAUAAUUAUCACUGUCCUAUGACUUGUCACACAGGUCGCAUAACUAUGAGUACUAAAUCAACUCAAAUGUCACAAUCAUUCUACCAAUGUAGAAUUGUUUUCUUUUAGAAACUUAAUAUGUUAAGUUUUGCACGCCCAAAUUAUAAUAUUCC